rnacentral:rRNA from 1 species
CAGCAGCCACGGUAAUACGUAGGGCGCAAGCGUUGUCCGGAAUUAUUGGGCGUAAAGAGCUCGUAGGCGGUCUGUCGCGUCUGGUGUGAAAUCCCGAGGCUCAACCUCGGGCUUGCAUCGGGUACGGGCAGACUAGAGUGCGGUAGGGGAGACUGGAAUUCCUGGUGUAGCGGUGGAAUGCGCAGAUAUCAGGAGGAACACCGAUGGCGAAGGCAGGUCUCUGGGCCGCAACUGACGCUGAGGAGCGAAAGCAUGGGGAGCGAACAGGAUUAGAUACCCGCGUAGUCCCUGUCUCUUUACA